UUCAGAUGUCCAAACUUUAAAGAUCAAAAUUAUUAAAAUGGAUAGUUCAACUGAACUUACAUAAUUCUAAUCAUGAACAAAAUAAACUUAGUAUUAUGAAAUCAUUACAUCUGGCUAAUUAUUCUAAUAAUUGCAGCUAUAACUUCAUUGAAAAGCUAUACAAGUACUCAUGUUAAACCCCAAAAUCUGUCUAUCAAGUGAAAGAAGAAAGUUAUAACUAACAUUACAAUGUACCAUUAUUUACAUUCAAACUCCAAAUAAGCUGCAUAAACAGGCUAGUAUAACUAUGACUCUCACAUUUAUCAUUUCAUAAUACAAUUAAAUAAAAGUUGUUCCUAACUGCAGCCUAAUAAAUAUAGAUCCUUCACGAGACCAUUAGCUUUCAGAUUGCGCCUGAAUCUCCAACGAUGCUCUUGGACGUUAUUUCGGCCUCAAUGUUUACAGAUUUGGCCAAUUAUGGUCAAGUCUUCAAAUUAUGGCACUGCGGAUAGUAAACAACAAAUCAUCCUUACUCCCAACUUUAAUAGGAAACAUCUUACCAUAUUCAAAGUAUGGUAAUGGCACUUUACUUGAAUUCUAUGUAUUGAUAAUCCAUGACAUCACACAAAUCAACAAACAAUCAUUCAAACUCUGAAGGAGAAGACAAAUUCAGACUUAAAACUAGAGCUUGCAGCUAUAAAAGUACAAUUCAUCAAACAACAAGUGAAGAACUAUUGCAAUUUUUCACGGUAAUAUAGUAUUAUAAUGACAGUUACAUCACUAGAGAUUAGAAGUAGUACCUUGACAGCAGUAAAAACAACAAGAAAAUAAGAUUAUGACUUGGAGAAAUGCAGCUAAAUAGAGUCAGCUUCAGCUUAAUCAAACAGUAUCAAACAACAAAAAUGAAGCCCCACGAAACUUCAAACCCAGAACUUGAAAAGAAAUAGCUAUCCAAUGAUGAAGCAAGCUAAUGAAAACAAUUGGUUUUUUUUUGUUGUUUCUGAAAUGUCAAAGUUGGUUUUCCAGAAAUUUUCUUUACUAAAAAUGAAAAUGAAGACAAUGGACUCUCAAAAAUCAAUGUAGAAUUAGUGAGGAAAUGCAAGGAGUAAUUCUGACUUCAGGGUGCUUUUUCGUGUGUCUUUUUCUGCAGAGAAUUCCUCUCUUAUAUAGAAUAUAUGAGAGCCUUAUUAGAGAAUGAGAUAAGGUACAAAAAGAAUCUACCCUCCUUCCAUAAAUUCAGGGGAAUGACAUCUUUUUGUACCAGAAAAUGGACAGCCGUAUCUAAAUUCAACAUCUUAUCUCAACAAUAUCGGGACAGAUGUCCCUUUUUAGAGUUUCUUUUCAUUUGCACUCUUUUAAACUUCUGAAAAUUCACCUUUUUCCAAAAAUCUGAUUUAACUUAUUCAAGUUAUUGCACCGUAAUCCCUUAUUUAGCAGUUUCCUGUAUCACUACCCUAGAUUCCCUAAUUUCGAUUUCCAAUUACCCUCUUAAAGUUUCUGUUAUUACUCAUUCACACCCUAAUUUCUAAUUGGCAUUCAAACAUCAAAAAUCAAACAAUUAAGGCAAAAUCAGAGACAAACAAAAUAGAAAUAAUCUAUUAAUUAAACCUAACUAAAUUAUGGAGUUAAUUAAAGCCAAUUUAAUUAGCCUAAACACAUGCAAUUAAACUAAUGAACAUGCAAUUAACUCGACCAUCAAAUUAAUUAAACGAACCAAUCCAAAUUAAGACCUAACAGAUAAUUUAAAGUAGAAAAAGAAGCAAAGGAAUAGGAUAAGAGGAGUACUUAUUUUGGGCCAAAAAUGAGUCGAUGAUUGAGGCGAAUCAACGAACGAUGAUGGCGACGAAACUUAAGUCGGUCAGUGGUAAGUUGGCCGAAAUCUGGCGAGUUUCAAAAUGAACCAAACUAACAUAAAUCUAUUUAUCGUGUCAAGAGCAAUCGACUCACUUGAGUUUGAGCCAAAACAAACGAAUUCGUUGAAGAAAUUAGAAGAUGAGCAAAACCUGGGUUUUUUGAGAUUUCAGAUAUACAAAUUGGAGAAACCUAGAAGGAUUUGAGGGGAAUGACUAUGGAAUUUGAAGAAAGGGGAGGACGGUGAUUAUCUGGUUAAAGGACGGGCUCAUUUGGUGGUGGUUUAGGGUGGCGCCGCCGGAAGUGGUUCUUUGGGCGGCUCGGGUUUUUAGGAGAAAAGUGAUAAGAGGAAGAGUGUGGAAAUGAG
rnacentral:lncRNA from 1 species